GCUCUGGUGGCCUAGUGGUUAGAGCGUCCGCAUCAAAUGCGGGAGGUCGCGUGCUCGAUCCCCGGCCGAAUUAUACCAAAGAA